rnacentral:rRNA from 1 species
UACGUAGGGGGCUAGCGUUGUCCGGAAUCAUUGAGCGUAAAGAGCGUGUAGGCGGCCCGGUAAGUCCGCUGUGAAAGUCGGGGGCUCAACCCUCGAAAGCCGGUGGAUACUGUCGGGCUAGAGUGCGGAAGAGGCGAGUGGAAUUCCACGUGUAGCGGUGAAAUGCGUAGAGAUGUGGAGGAACACCAGUGGCGAAGGCGACUCUUUGGUCUGUAACUGACGCUGAGGCGCGAAAGCGUGGGGAGCAAACAGGAUUGAGAUAC